rnacentral:ncRNA from 1 species
UAAAAGUUUGGUUCUGGCUUUUUAUUUUAGCUGUGAUUAUUUUAAAUACAUGAAAUUUUUGUAGAUGAGUGAGGAUGAGUAAAGAAUAUAAAAGAAAAAAUAUUUUUUUUAUAGGAAAGCUUUUGAUAUUAAAUUGUUUAAAAUGUCUGAGAAUGCUCACUUCAUCAGUAUUGAAGAUUAAGAAAUAUAAGAAAUUAUGAUUUAGAAAGUAAUAGAGAAGCUUGGAAAAAUUUGUGCCAGCCUCCGCGGUUAGACAAAUAAGCUAAGUUAAAAUAGUCGGUAAAAAAGAUGGUUAGUUUUAGUUGAAGGUAGAUUAAAUUAAUUUUAUAAGUUAAAUUAGAAGAGUUAUUUUGAAAUUAUUUCUAUCUGAAGAAUGACUCCAUGAAAACUUAUUUUCGAGACCGGGAUUAGAUACCCCGUUAUUCAAGAAGUAAAUUUAUAAAAAAUAUGUAUACCAGAGUAUUACGAGUGUUCCUUAAAACUCAAAGAACUUGGCGGUGCUCAAAACCCAGCCAGGGGAGCCUGCCCCAUAAUCGAUAUUCCUCGAAGAACCUGACUUUUUCUUGCUUUUCAGUUUGUAUACCGUCGUCAUCAGGUGACUUUUUAGAAUAAAGAAGUCAGCUAAAAGGAAGAAAUAAUCCUUUAUGUCAGAUCAAGGUGCAGCUAAUGAAAAAGUGGAGGUGGGCUACUAUAAAAAAAUUUUUAUGGAUAUUUUUUUGAAAAUAAAGAUUAAAAAAGGACUUGGGAGUAAGUAUAAGAAAGAGUGUUAAGCUGAACUAGGAUUUAGAGUGUGCACAUAUCGCCCGUCGCUCUCGUCGAAAGAUGAGAUAAGUCGUAACAUAGCAAGGGUACCGGAAGGUGUUCUUAAAAACAU